GAUGAACGCUGACAGAAUGCUUAACACAUGCAAGUCAACUGUGGCGGACGGGUGAGUAACGCGUAAAGAACUUGCCUCACGGAUAGGGACAACAUUUGGAAACGAAUGCUAAUACCUGAUACUGUGAGAGAGCUUUGCGUCCAAUUAGCUAGUUGGAGAGGUAACGGCUCACCAAGGCGAUGAUGGGUAGCCGGCCUGAGAGGGUGAUCGGCCACAAGGGGAAUGAGACACGGCCCUGACUCCUACGGGAGGCAGCAGUGGGGAAUAUUGGACAAUGGAGCAAAGUCUGAUCCAGAAAUGCUGGGGGAACGAUGAAGGUGGCGGAAUGUAAAGUGCUGUCAGUUGGGAAGCGGUACCAACAGAAGAAGUGACGGCUAAAUACGUGCCAGCCGCCGCGGUAAUAC
rnacentral:rRNA from 1 species